CCCCACUUUUGGUGUUUUUUGUAGGUGAGCAUAGCAUACAGGCUCACUGAACAGUGAGAAGCGUUAUUCAUGUUUCACCCAUUCUGCUGCAUCAAAGGGAAAUUCCAUAAUCUACCAUAGGUCACUGAACAACCUGUACCAGAUUUUGCAGACGCUAGAAGGCAGAAGUGAAGCCUGACGGGAGUUACCACGAGGAUCGCGUAUCGGUCUUCCUAUCUGCGCUGUUCCAGAAUAUUAUUCUAUCUUCUCUGCUUCUUGACCGUGCAG